GGCAACUGUAAAUUCAGCCUGAGGUUUUUUUUUACUCUGUUUUUCCCACAGCUGAAACACAUGUUAAAGUGGAGAAAGUUCCCAGGGAAGCUCGGUGCCUGUUUUGAUCGCAUCUGACAUGCCAUGCGCCAGGAUGAAGGAUGCCUCUUUAAAUGACUUGUUGCCAAAGCCACAACUCCAGAAACACUUGGAAUUGCUGCCGAAGGCGUCAGAGUAGGGCUUCUUAGACCUCCAGAAGGACGUUGAAAGUAAUAUGCUACUGAACAUUCAACAAAUCAACUGCUACGUGUCAGGUCUCUGUCACAGUUCUGGGGAGAAGUGAAGGCAGUUCUAGAAGAGGUGAUUCUCAAAUGGGUCCCUCUCUGGGCUACGUGGGCCUGCCAAGUAACCACCAUGACAGAGGUGGUCUUUGGAUACUCAAAGACUCAGCUGAGAUUCAUCUUCAGUUUGUUCUAAGAUCCAAGCCCUAAUUCUCUCCAACAUCUGACAGCAUGGGUGCUUGAAGGUGCAUUGCAACAUGGUGAGCCAGGAGCUGCCUCCAUGAGACAUAAAACUGCAGGAGCGACAAUGAGAGACGGAAGGCACUUGCCUAAGGUGGCAUAGCUGGCUGGAAAAGAACCUUCCCAGGAAGUUGGCCUGGGGACACAGCCUGUGUUCACAAUCACUCACCUAAUCUCCAAUGAAAAUCAGCUAUUUAGAGCUACAAUUUCAGUAGCAUUCUACAGUCUUCUACAAAGGGCUGCAGCUUCAACUUUAUCUUAAUUGAUUCUAUAGAAACAAUGUCAUAAUUGGUGCCCAGGUUCCCAACGGAGGGCCUGAUGGCAUACUUUCCUAGAAAUGACCGCAAUUGCCCUACCUAAUCAAUUAUAAAUGGUUUAUUUGUACACUGUAUAGUAGAAAGCCCUCCAGUGUGUACAGAUAUCAAAUAAAUAAAGCAGUACA